AGAAGGAAGAAGAAGAGAAAUCAAAGAAGGGUGGUGCUGCUCGAUAAAGAUGAGAAUUUUCUUUUCUUUUCUUUCUUUUCUCUUGUUUCUCCCUCUUUUUUGCGAAAGAGGGGAAGCAAACAAACUCAAAGGAAAGCGUG
rnacentral:ribozyme from 13 species